rnacentral:rRNA from 1 species
CCUGGCCUUGACAUGCUGAGAACUUUCCAGAGAUGGAUUGGUGCCUUCGGGAACUCAGACACAGGUGCUGCAUGGCUGUCGUCAGCUCGUGUCGUGAGAUGGUUGGGUUAAGUCCCGUAACGAGCGCAACCCUUGUCCUUAGUUACCAGCACGUUAUGGUGGGCACUCUAAGGAGACUGCCGGUGACAAACCGGAGGAAGGUGGGGAUGACGUCAAGUCAUCAUGGCCCUUACGGCCAGGGCUACACACGUGCUACAAUGGUCGGUACAAAGGGUUGCCAAGCCGCGAGGUGGAGCUAAUCCCAUAAAACCGAUCGUAGUCCGGAUCGCAGUCUGCAACUCGACUGCGUGAAGUCGGAAUCGCUAGUAAUCGUGAAUCAGAACGUCACGGUGAAUACGUUCCCGGGCCUUGUACACACCGCCCGUCACACCAUGGGAGUGGGUUGCUCCAGAAGUAGCUAGUCUAACCUUCGGGGGGACGGUUACCACGGAGUGAUUCAUGACUGGGGUGAAGUCGUAACAAGGUAAGCGUAGACGU